CUGUUAAAGAUAAACAUUAGCAUCAUAACUUAAAAUUUUGAUCAUUCCAAUAUUAAGUAAAGCGAUUUAACAAUGCUUAUUCUAUUUGCAGAGAUGUUAUAUAGAGAAUUUCUAACCAACCCCAACUAGUUCAGGAUCAAUGCACAAUUAUUGUAAAGAUUAAAACUUUAUCACCUGUUCAGCUAAGUCCAUGUAUUCAAUAGUGAGCAAUCGAGCAACAAAACAUGAAACUGCUCCAUAAUGCACAACAGCAGCACAAGAAGAUGGUAAAACAUCAACCAAAUGAGUUAGCGCCCUAGCUGCAAGAAGCAUAGUGUCAGGAUUACUACUUCCACCAUGAUUAUUAAGCAACCCAACAAGCACAGGUACAAAAGAGUCCACUGAAAAAGUGCUCAAAGAUAUCAGGACUACUACUUCCACCAUGAUUACUAAGCAACCCAACAAGCACAGGUACAAAAGAGUCCACCGAAAAAGUGCUCAAAGAGUCUUCUGUUCCAAUAGAAAGCAUCACACACAACUGUGUCAAUGCCUCUAUUUGUUUCCCUUCUUCCCCAUCAGCUCUUAAACCCGAUAAUAUCUUCUUCAGCC
rnacentral:lncRNA from 1 species